CCUGAGAAACCUAAAAGAUCGAAUGGGGAGAUUCAUCAUCAAUAUGUUUAAUAUUAAUAUAUUAUAUGAUAUAUAUUAAUUUUUAUAUAUUUUCGAAUUUAUAAAAAUUUUUUAUACAUUAAUAUAUUAAAUUUUAUUUUACUAUGUCGAUGUGCACUUCUCCCCUAGUAGGACAUCGCGACCCAUUAAAUGUCGAUUUACGACCAAAUUGGAUUAGUUUUUAAUAUAUUUAUAUAUUAAAAACCAAUUUGUGUUUUCUAAUCGAGUAUUUGAUGGUAAUCGUAUGGUAUUAAGUCGCUUGAUUAUAUUUUGCGUUCUUUACCCGUUGCAAGCGAGGUUUUAUUUAUUAGUUUCAAUAUUUAUUAUUGUCUAAUAAAAUUUAAUCAGCUGUUGGCUAUACGGUGUUCUAGAACUGACUUUAUUUAUAUACCUGUCGGCGAUGCUAUUGCU
rnacentral:rRNA from 1 species